rnacentral:rRNA from 1 species
GACUCCUACGGGAGGCAGCAGUGGGGAAUAUUGCACAAUGGGGGAAACCCUGAUGCAGCCAUGCCGCGUGUGUGAAGAAGGCCUUCGGGUUGUAAAGCACUUUCAGUAGGGAGGAAGGUAGUGUAGUUAACACCUGCAUUAUUUGACGUUACCUACAGAAGAAGCACCGGCUAACUCCGUGCCAGCAGCCGCGGUAAUACGGAGGGUGCGAGCGUUAAUCGGAAUUACUGGGCGUAAAGCGCAUGCAGGCGGCCUGUUAAGUCAGAUGUGAAAGCCCCGGGGCUUAACCUCGGAAUUGCAUUUGAAACUGGCAGGCUAGAGUCUUGUAGAGGGGGUAGAAUUUCAGGUGUAGCGGUGAAAUGCGUAGAGAUCUGAAGGAAUACCAGUGGCGAAGGCGGCCCCCUGGACAAAGACUGACGCUCAGAUGCGAAAGCGUGGGGAGCAAACAGGAUUAGAUACCCUGGUAG